UUUCUUAAAAAGCGGACAUGCAUGUUUAGGGUUUACGUAAGACUAGUGAGGUGUGUGCCAGCCAUUUUGAUGCCUGCAACACACAACCUUUCAGCAGAUCCCUCUAUACAAUUCCAUGAUCAGGUUUUUUACGGUUCAGGUCAGUGGUGUCCAAUUAAGACCUAGACAACCAGGUGAGUGGUGUCCAAUUAAGACCCAGACAACCAGGUGAGUGGUGUCCAAUUAAGACCUAGACAACCAGGUGAGUGGUGUCCAAUUAAGACCUAGACAACCAGGUGAGUGGUGUCCAAUUAAGACCCAGACAACCAGGUGAGUGGUGUCCAAUUAAGACCUAGACAACCAGGUGAGUGGUGUCCAAUUAAGACCCAGACAACCAGGUGAGUGGUGUCCAAUUAAGACCCAGACAACCAGGUGAGUGGUGUCCAAUUAAGACCCAGACAACCAGGUGAGUGGUGUCCAAUUAAGACCUAGACAACCAGGUGAGUGGUGUCCAAUUAAGACCUAGACAACCAGGUGAGUGGUGUCCAAUUAAGACCCAGACAACCAGGUGAGUGGUGUCCAAUUAAGACCUAGACAACCAGGUGAGUGGUGUCCAAUUAAGACCUAGACAACCAGGUGAGUGGUGUCCAAUUAAGACCUAGACAACCAGGUGAGUGGUGUCCAAUUAAGACCUAGACAACCAGGUGAGUGGUGUCCAAUUAAGACCCAGACAACCAGGUGAGUGGUGUCCAAUUAAGACCUAGACAACCAGGUGAGUGGUGUCCAAUUAAGACCUAGACAACCAGGUGAGUG